rnacentral:lncRNA from 1 species
GACCGUCAACACAUAUAUACAUGCUUGCUAGACUUUGAGCCACACAUUUACUUUUACUACUUAUGAGCAUUGAGUGUGGUCAAGCUGUGUAGACCCUUAGGAGCUUGUCAUGUGGUUAAAUCAAGAUUCACUUGCAUGUUCACUCACAUAUGCUGCUUCUACUCCGGAAGUACGCAUACACAUAUAUCCACCCAUUUCCAUCUCCAGAACCACCCAAAAAAAUAUUCUACUCCUAAUCCGGGAGAGAAUAGCCAAAAACAUUUC